UAAAAUUAGUAAUUUGAGGAAGCAAUUUAGACGAGAAAAACUUCAAGUUGGUUCAUCAGGAGGAGCUCCUAGUAAAUGGUGGCCUCACGAUAUUGUUGCCAAAAUAAUAGGUGGUGAAGCUUCCCUUGACAAUGACCUUUUAUCUCAAAGUCAAAACUUUUCUACUCAAGAUUUUCAAGAUGGUCAGAUUGCCACAAUGGAAGAUGGCAAGGAGACUG
rnacentral:lncRNA from 1 species